UUAACAAGAAAGCAAUAAAUGAAUAUGUGAAAUUGCAACAUGAUGACAAAUGUUUAUUUGUUAUAACGUGACAUGUUUAUUUUCCACCAUGAUAAAUAUUCUAGGAAAAAAUAAGGCAAGAUAAAAGAAUGGGGGCAGUGGUAGGGUUUCGAUUACAAUCAUCAAGACGGGACUUUGGGGCAGAGGCUUUAAAAAAGUGAAAACAAAAGGGCUGGGGAAAAGUGUUCCAAGACAGAAGGAACCCCCCCGGGCAAAGGCCCCAAGGCGGGUGCAAGAGAGUCAAAUUCUGGACGUUCCAACUCGGAGGCCUGCAGCUCAGGCAUGUUUCAGUUCCAGCUCAGACCCAGACUGGACUCUCUUCCAGAAUGACUGAUUUGCUGGCCUUUCUGUCUCCCCGCCUCAGCCCUGCAGACUCUUCCCCUCUGCACACUGCCCCCCGCCCCCACCGGGGGCAUCGCAGGGGUCAUGAGGGAAGACUGCAGCCUGGAGGCUGACAGGACUUGCCUCCUCCUCUGUCGCAUCACCUGGGGUGACCCUUCGCCUUGGCAAUGGCUGUUGGGACGGGUUCCCAGGUUCGACCCUGCUCCCCGGCCUCGUGCUUCACUCGUGUUGCCUGGUUUCCCAGCCAUGCCUCCCUUGCCUGCCCAGAUGCCCAUCGCCCAGGAAACCAACCCCCUGCACAAAUUCCUCUUCGUUAGCAUAACUGGUGUUGCUUCUUAUUCCUGGCUGGAGCUUGACUGAUAAAGGGGCCAGAGAGAACUUUCCUGAAGUCACCAACCACGUUUUAUUUGGCUCCGAUUGCAAGCACUCAGCACAAUCCCAGCAGGUGACAGUGCCCAAACAAGGAAUCUUCCAUCCCUGAAAGGCAGGAAAUAUACCCCAAAAAGAGGACUCCGGUGCCCACUAUGUGUUCAGUUAAUGAACAAGUAAAUGAACUGAUCGAGUAAGAGCAACUCAGAACGGACAGAGGCGUAGAGACCUUCACCUGCUGCCUUGUUCACCUGCCGCCUUGUUCACCUGCUGCCUUCACCUGUCACCUUCACCACCUGCUGCUUUCACCUGCCGCCGUUGCCUACUGCUUGCUUGACAGUAGGUGAGCCUUUGGGCCAGGUCACUUGUGAUGCAAAUAAACUCUAAUUGGACCCCAA